GACGAACGCUGGCGGCGUGCCUAAUACAUGCAAGUAGAACGCUGAAGGAGGAGCUUGCUUCUCUGGAUGAGUUGCGAACGGGUGAGUAACGCGUAGGUAACCUGCCUGGUAGCGGGGGAUAACUAUUGGAAACGAUAGCUAAUACCGCAUAAGAGUAGAUGUUGCAUGACAUUUGCUUAAAAGGUGCAAUUGCAUCACUACCAGAUGGACCUGCGUUGUAUUAGCUAGUUGGUGGGGUAACGGCUCACCAAGGCGACGAUACAUAGCCGACCUGAGAGGGGGAUCGGCCACACUGGGACUGAGACACGGCCCAGACUCCUACGGGAGGCAGCAGUAGGGAAUCUUCGGCAAUGGACGGAAGUCUGACCGAGCAACGCCGCGGGAGUGAAGAAGGUUUUCGGAUCGUAAAGCUCGGUUGUAAGAGAAGAACGAGUGUGAGAGUGGAAAGUUCACACUGUGACGGUAUCUUACCAGAAAGGGACGGCUAACUACGUG
rnacentral:rRNA from 1 species